CUCUCUACCUCAGAAACUUUCACGUCGGAUUUACCAGGUCUAUCGUAUGGUGUGAUUUGCUAUCUAGGAAUACACUCAGUAUCUACCUGUAGAGAGUGUAGCUUAAAUCUUAGAUUGCAUGCACUGACUUCAAAAUCCAAUAACUCCUUUAUUUCAACUUAGAAUCCAGUAAGCAGUAUAUAAAAAGUGUAGCCACAAAAAUGUUCUCUAUAGUCGCGGUCACUGAUCCUCAAUUGCUGUCUGUAUGUGUACGUUGUGCCAAAAAGAGUGACAGUAGCUCUCGAAUCAAUACCUUAACUUUGAGCUCUUGUAUCUCCUUCAUAUAAACUCCAAACCAUACAAAACUUGUACCA
rnacentral:lncRNA from 1 species